rnacentral:rRNA from 1 species
GACGAACGCUGGCGGCGCGCCUAACACAUGCAAGUCGAACGAGAGAUGAGGAGCUUGCUCUUCAAAUCGAGUGGCGAACGGGUGAGUAACGCGUGAGGAACCUGCCUCAAAGAGGGGGACAACAGUUGGAAACGACUGCUAAUACCGCAUAAGCCCACGGCUCGGCAUCGAGCAGAGGGAAAAGGAGCAAUCCGCUUUGAGAUGGCCUCGCGUCCGAUUAGCUAGUUGGUGAGGUAACGGCCCACCAAGGCGACGAUCAGUAGCCGGCCUGAGAGGGUGAACGGCCACAUUGGGACUGAGACACGGCCCAAACUCCUACGGGAGGCAGCAGUGGGGAAUAUUGCACAAUGGGGGAAACCCUGAUGCAGCAACGCCGCGUGAGUGAAGAAGUAUUUCGGUAUGUAAAGCUCUAUCAGCAGGAAAGAAAAUGACGGUACCUGACUAAGAAGCCCCGGCUAACUACGUG